UGAUAUUCAGUACCGGUAGUAAUUGUUUGAGCAAUGGAGUGACACAGAAGGGCAGGCAAGCAUGCGAAUGGAAGAGCAUGUGUAAGCGUGUAGGGUGGUGCAUAGGCAAAUCCGUGCAACUGAAAGCCUGAGGCGUGAUGCGGAGUGAGCAGAGAUGCGAGCGAAGUUGUUGACCCCACACUGUCGAGAAAAGCUUCUAGUGAGAGAGCUACCGCCCGUACCGUAAACCGACACAGGUAUGCGGGGAGAGAAUCCUAAGGUGCGCGGGAGAACCCUCGUUAAGGAACUCGGCAAAAUGUACCCGUAACUUCGGGAUAAGGGUAGCCGUCUUGGUGAAGGAACUAGCUUCUGGAGCUAAAGGCGGUCGCAGAGAAGAGGCCCAAGCGACUGUUUACCACAAACACAGGUGCCUGCUAAAGCGAAAGCUGACGUAUAGGUGCUGACACCUGCCCAGUGCUGGAAGGUUAAGGAAGGAUGUCCGGGCAACCAAAGCAUUCGACCGAAGCCCCAGUGAACGGCGGCCGUAACUAUAACGGUCCUAAGGUAGCGAAAUUCCUUGUCGGGUAAGUUCCGACCCGCACGAAAGGUGUAACGAUUUGGGCACUGUCUCAACGAGGGACCCGGUGAAAUUGAAAUACCUGUGAAGAUGCAGGUUACCCGCGACUGGACAGAAAGACCCCAUGGAGCUUUACUGUAACCUGACAUUGGGUUUUGUUGUAUUACGUACAGGAUAGGUGGGAGGCUUAGAAGGCUGGACGCUAGUCUGGCUGGAGCCGGCGUUGGGAUACCACCCUUGAUACAACGGAAUUCUAACCGAGAGAGUAACGAAAUCCGGGACAGUGUCAGGCGGGCAGUUUGACUGGGGCGGUCGCCUCCGAAAGAGUAACGGAGGCGCCCAAAGGUUCCCUCAGCGCGGCCGGAAAUCGCGCGAAGAGUGUAAAGGCAGAAGGGAGCUUGACUGCGAGCCAAACACGGCGAGCAGGUACGAAAGUAGGGCUUAGUGAUCCGGUGGUACCGAGUGGAAGGGCCAUCGCUCAACGGAUAAAAGCUACCCUGGGGAUAACAGGCUAAUCUCUCCCAAGAGUCCAUAUCGACGGGGAGGUUUGGCACCUCGAUGUCGGCUCAUCACAUCCUGGGGCUGAAUUCGGUCCCAAGGGUUCGGCUGUUCGCCGAUUAAGUGGUACGCGAGCUGGGUUCAGAACGUCGUGAGACAGUUCGGUCCCUAUCCAUCGCGGGCGCAAGAGAUUUGAAGGGGGCUGCUCCUAGUACGAGAGGACCGGAGUGGACGAACCGCUGGUGUACCAAUUAUCCCGCCAGGGGUACAGUUGGGUAGCUACGUUCGGAAAGGAUAAACGCUGAAAAGCAUCUAAGCGUGAAACCAGCCUUAAGAUGAGAUCUCUCAUAGAGCAAUCUAGUAAGACACCUUAAAGAAGAUGAGGUUGAUAGGUCGGGAGUGUAAGUACAGCAAUGUAUUGAGCGGACCGAUACUAAUAUGUCGAGGGCUUGACUUA
rnacentral:rRNA from 1 species